UCACAGCUUACGCUGGCAGUUUCAUUAGAGUCCCCGGCAUUACCCGCUGGCAACUAAUGAUAAGGGUUGCGCUCGUUAUGGCACUUAAGCCGACACCUCACGGCACGAGCUGACGACAACCAUGCAGCACCUCGCAGACGGCCAUUGCUGGCUGUAAGCUUUCACCUACAUUCCCUCCGCGUUCGAGCCCAGGUAAGGUUCCUCGCGUAUCAUCGAAUUAAACCACAUGUUCCUCCGCUUGUGCGGGCCCCCGUCAAUUCCUUUGAGUUUCAUCGUUGCCGACGUACUCCCCAGGUGGAUCACUUAAUGCUUUUACUCAGACGCUUGCUGUGUAUCGCAAACAUCCAGUGAUCAUAGUUUACGGCGUGGACUAC
rnacentral:misc_RNA from 1 species